GUUUCAUAUAUUAACUAAUUUCUAACCUAUUCCUUCACCUGGUGAGUCGACAGCACAGCUCCGAGCGGCGAGCAUACAUCUCUCUGUCUUUCAUACUUCUCAGCACCACCGCUGCCUGAAACACUCCCCACCUCCUCCGUCGUUGCCGGCUCGCACGACGCUUCUGUUGAAGAAAUUAAUUUGAUACUAUCUCACUUGCUUCUUCCUUUGUUAACUCUGGCAAACUACUCAUGGUGUUUGGUCAGAGAGAUCGUAACAAGCCUUUUGUGGCUCGUCGAAAUUACCAACCCAAUGCCAAUGCCAACGCCAAUCGGAAUAACCAAACCCAUUCCUCUCCCCGGAGACAGAAGAUUAUAGAGCAGAGAAAGUCACUUCCUAUUGCUUCAGUUGAGAAGAGAUUAAUUGAAGAGGUUCAGAAGAAUGAUAUUUUGAUUGUUGUUGGUGAAACUGGAAGUGGAAAAACUACACAGAUUCCACAAUUUUUAUUUCAUGCUGGAUUUUGCCACGACGGGAAAGUUGUUGGGAUAACUCAGCCGAGACGUGUUGCUGCUAUCACUGUGGCCAAGCGUGUUGCUGAAGAAUGUGGUUGUGAGUUGGGCCAAAAGGUUGGGUACUCUGUUAGAUUUGAUGAUUCUACUUCCAACUCAACAAGGAUCAAAUAUAUGACAGAUGGGUUGCUUCUGAGGGAGGCAUUGUUGGAUCCUUAUCUUUCUAAGUAUUCUGUUAUAAUUGUCGAUGAAGCACACGAGAGAACUGUCCACACUGAUGUCUUGAUGGGCUUGCUAAAAAAUGUGCAACUUGCUCGGUCAAAUUCUAUCAAAGAUGGUCGGAACCUUAAUAAUGAGAACAAGAAUACAAAUGGUUUCAUGUUGUUGGAUAAAGAUAAUGGCCAGAAUGGAAGUUCUCUUAGAAAAGACCACCGCAAAAAGAGUUCUCCAUUGAAGUUAAUCAUCAUGUCUGCAAGUCUUGAUGCUCGCACCUUCUCUGAGUACUUUGGUGGUGCCAAAGCUGUUCACAUCCAAGGGAGACAGUUUCCUGUGGAUAUAUUUUAUACUCGUCAUCCAAAAACAGAUUAUGUAGAUGCUGCCUUGAUAACGAUUUUCCAGGUUCAUCAAGAUGAGGCUCCUGGUGAUAUACUAGUAUUUCUGACUGGGCAAGAAGAGAUUGAUGCUGUUGAAAGGCUUAUCAAGGAGCGACUUUCAAAGUUACCUCAAGAAUAUCAGAGGCUUCAAGUUGUGCCAAUAUAUGCAGCUCUUCCAUCUGAGCAGCAAAUGCGAGCCUUUGCACCGGCUCCAUCUGGGUUUCAUAAGGUGAUAUUGGCAACUAAUAUUGCCGAGACAUCAAUUACGAUUCCUGGAAUCAAGUAUGUAAUUGAUCCUGGACUUGUAAAAGCGCGUUCCUAUGAUCCUGGAAAAGGCAUGGAAUCUUUAAUUGUAGUACCUACAUCCAAGUCUCAGGCAUUGCAAAGAAGUGGGCGUGCAGGGCGUGAAGGACCUGGAAAAUGCUUUCGGCUAUAUCCAGAAAAUGAAUUUGAGAAACUUGAGGAUUCAACAAUGCCGGAAAUUAAGCGUUGCAACCUUUCUAAUGUCAUUUUGCAGCUUAAGGCUUUGGGUGUUGACGACAUAUUAGGGUUCGAUUUCAUUGAGAAACCUUCAAGGACAGCUAUAGUAAAAUCAUUGGAGCAGCUAUUUUUGUUAGGUGCUUUGACAGAUGACUGUCAACUAUCUGAUCCAGUUGGACGUCAAAUGGCCCGACUUCCCUUGGACCCAGUUUAUGCCAAAGCUCUUAUUUUAGCAAGUCAGUUUAACUGCUUGGAAGAGAUGUUGAUAGCUGUUGCAAUGCUUUCUGCGGAAUCCAUAUUUUAUUUUCCGCGCGACAAGUAUGAAGAGGCAAGAACUGCAGCUAAGAGCUUUGCAAGUCCAGAGGGAGACCACAUCACUCUGAUUAAUGUGUUUAGAGCAGCUACUGAUUUAUUGGAGAAGAGAACUAUCGAAAUUAAUAAAAUGAAAAAUGAAAAGGAUUUUAGAAAAUGGUGCAAAGAAAAUUUUAUCAAUAGCCGUUCUCUUAGACAUGCUCGUGACAUUCACAGGCAGAUUCAAGGACAUGUUCAACAAAUGGGUCUGAAACUUGCUUCUUGUGGAGAAGAUAUGCUUCAAUUUCGCAGAUGCCUUGUUGCUUCCUUUUUCCUCAAUGCAGCUGUGAAGCAGCCAGAUGGAACCUACAGGGCUUUGGCAAGUGGUCAGGUGGUGCAGAUCCAUCCUUCGUCUGUAUUGUUCAGGAAGAAACCAGAGUGCAUAAUAUUUAAUGAACUGAUUCAAACUAAUAACAAGUAUGUCCGUGAUUUAACCAGAGUUGACAACCUAUGGUUAACUGAACUGGCUCCUCAGUUUUAUGCUAUGCAGAAUUAAGUUCUUGAUGGGGCUUUACACAGAUAUGCCUCAGAGGAAUACGUCUCAGAGACCGCCUGAGCCGCCUUAGGAUAGGAGUGACAGACUUAAGGGCAGGGAGGCCUGCCCCUACCGGUAGUGCACGAAGGGAGAAACAAGCAUUACGCCCUCCUAUGGCUGGUCGAGGGAGAGGUGGAGGAACGAGACUUGCUAGAGUUGAUGCUGCAGGGGGGUCAACGUCACAGACGGGUCCAUCCCAGGCAGUGAACCCGACACAGUAUCAGCAGGAUUAUCAGGUGUAUGAGCAGGCGCAGGAUCAGACCUAUCAUUUUCAGGAGCCUUAGCCUCAAUUGUAUCAGUUUGAUGCCUUUCAGCAGCAUCAAUAUGAGGAUCAUCAUGAGCAGCCUGGUAUUGAGGAGCCUCAACAGCAGGAUGAUAUUGAGCAGCCUCAGCAACAUGAUGGUGGGGAUCGUUUUCAGAGGUGACGCUUUUACCUCACUUUGGUGGACAUGUGGCAUGCAGGGUCUGGGUCGAUGCCGAUUUUCGAAGAAAACAUAGGGUGAAAGGUAUCUUGCACGAGAAGAAACUGAGCCUUAAAAACUUGACAUUGCCUAUGCCGGGGGAACAAAACGAGUGAUUUUGGUUAGAAGUGAAUAUGUCUGGUCUUACUCCCCUCCUGACUAGUGGGUACGAGAACAUCUCUCACGGGUUUGUUUGUGCGAUGACCAUAGAUGGUGUGGGGAGAUGACCAUCCCACUAGAUGGUGUGGCGUGUCUCCUGGGCUUCCCCAUCACUGGGAGGCUCCUUCCCGAUAGAGAGUUUACCCGUGAGGAGGGGCUAGAGAUGAUGCAGAUGGACCUACUGUUUACAGAGGAGGCUGCCGCUAAGGAGAUGACAAAACAGGGUGCUGCUCACGUCAGUUUUGGUGUACUGAAGAGGUGCUACGAGGAACUCUUGAAUAGGUGUAACCAGCUGCUUGUGAAUGACACAUAGAAGGAGCAAGACGAGCGAGCUGAAGUUAGGCUGGCCUGUAUUAAGGCAUUUCUGUUACUCUUGCUUGGCUGGACCAUUUUUUCCGGGAAGAACAGCAAAAACAUUAAUCAUCUUUGGCUGAUUGCUAUGCAAGAUAUGGACGAGUUGGACAGCUGGUCAUGGGGUGGGAUGGGACUUGCUUUCCUAUAUGAGCAUCUAUCUCUUACCUCCGACUCAUCUGUGGCCUCCUAUGGUGGUUCCAUGACAUUGCUUGUGGGAUGGACUUUGGCGCACUUCUCGAACAUUAUUCCGAGGAUUGAUGAUGAUGCCUACGACCCUGCUGUUUCCCCACUUGUGAGUGAAUGGAAACCUUCAAGGGGCUUUUCUAAUCCUGGACACUACAGAGCUGUCAUCGAUUCGUUGGACCAUUCACAUGUCACCUGGAGGCCGUACGAGAGACGACGACAUCACGCCCUUUCAGGACAUAUGCUAGUACUCCGGAUGGAUCAUGGCCGGCAGCGACAGGAUGGUCCGUAACUUGCCAGAGCCGGUUCUUAGGCAGUAUGGGUAUGUCGACUAUUCUCAGGGCUUCUACAGACAUUGAGCUUAUUGCGGCGAAUGAUGUGGCUCAGGCCUUCAUGGAGUUUGCUCUACAUGUCCUCAGCCAUCAGGAUAGGGGUCAUCCGGUUCCGGAUAACCAGCCGUGGGCUCAUACUAGGGGGUACAUGAGAUGAUUCAUUAGAGUAUCACAUCCUAUUGUGAACCCCCCUGCGGCCAUUCCUGACUAUGCAGCUGCUGCCCCUCCUCGUCCUGUCCCUCCUUAUGAGGAGGUUAUUGUUAAGUAGCAGUGGGUCAGACAUCCUCCAGACCCAUACCAGAUCAUCAACAAUAUCAGAGCCAGAGUGGAUGGUGCAAUGGGACAUCCUGCUGUGUUUCAUAAUCCAGAGGAGAUUAUGCGCUUGAUGCAGGGCAUACAGUCUGAGUGGAGCAUGCUGGUGCAGGCUCUGCGGAGGAGGAGUAGGAGUCCACGGGAUGGACAGUAUGACUUGUGUAGCUUUUAUGACUUGUGUAGUUUUUUUUGUAUGACAUUUUGUUGGAUUUGGUUGUAAUCCUAUAACACUUGCGCUUUUUAGCGUUUUUAUGACAUUAUUCGUUAUUUUAUUCCGUGUUUUA